CACCAAGAGGCUAACACCCCGCUACAACACUUCAUAGCUAUGAGCCGCACUGCCCAAAUCAUAAAUAGAACCUCUCACUGCCGCUUUGGAACUAGCAGUUCCGCACCGGUCACUAGUAAUUAAUAUCUUCGCUUAUCGGCACUAGUUAGCAACCCAGCUCUACAUAAGGGAUGUUACCGGUGUGCAUCAACGUUUUGCAUUUUUAACCAUCAUCAAUUCCCAGACAGGAGGCUGCAAGAAAUAGUUCCAGGUGACGUUCUAUUGCUGAAAAGACACUCCAACACUGUCAUCCCAGGUCCCCUGCAGAACUCCCUGUUCCCGCCACUACCUAGGCCUUGCUCAAAUAUGACGGUUAAACCACAAGUUAGGAGACGCAAUGUUCCCGCCCACGGCCGGAAAGGCUGCUUAUACCCCAAACAAGCUGGUCAUGCCCUAGAGUGGCGCACGUCAGUAGUUCAGUUAACUCAAUAUUGUAAUCAGCAGAUUUCAGUUGUCCAUAGCAUCACAACGGUGCCUCUUUCCACAUACGAUACUAGGUCCUCCUUCAGCCAAUUUGAAUUUUAUCAUACAUCAUUCUAGUUGGUCCCCCAGGUGUCGCAACCGUCCGGAUUAAAGUUUUGUUAUGCUUGGGUAUAUACACUCGGUUAAACAUAAUUAAUUUUAACUGGUAAACGUUCAAGGUACACAUAUGACAAUUCUUCAAAGGGUCUUUCUUAAAAAAAAAAAAAAAAAAUCUGGUUUUGCUUUAGAUUUAGUUAUUCGUUACAUGAGGGUUGUUGGAAUUGGUUACUUAUAAUACAUUUUUAGCAGAUUUACUAUACUGCUGAAUGUUCUGUCUUCUACAAUAUCACUACUCACUUAUCGGCCUCCGGGAUAUCCAAAUUGAGGUUAGGCUAACACAGGCCUACGUAUCAGGCAAUUACCUGCCAGCAAUAUGGCCUCGUUACAGGUCCACAUUUCACAUACAAUCUACAGUUUAAUCAUUCCUAGAAUUUUAGGUACGACCGUGCUGUACUGGUUUUCAUCUCGUGUCAUAUGCUGUUCGACGUAUGUAUGACACCUGGUUGAUGCUAGUCAUUUAUACUGAUCUUCCAUCUUUCAACAGUAUUACCCCAGUCAACAACGUUACUUACCCCCAAAUUGUUUUGCAAAAUAUUUG